CCCUGACACAGUGUGAUCAGGGCCGAUAACAGGAUCAAUGGGGCCAUCUUGGAGGGUGGUGACCACCCUGUGAAAAUCUGCAGGCCACGAUGAGAAAACUGAGGCUCAGAAAAAUGAAACAGUGGCCCAAGGAUACACUGAUGGGAAGACACAGAGCUGGACACCUGUCUGAACUGCAGUCCCCCAGCACCGCCCCCAGGCUGCCCCUGGUGCCUCGUGGACACAUCUGAGAAUGGAAAGCUUUUCAGGGCAGAAAGUCUUCCCUGAGAGUUCAUUGUCUCAAGGUGUAGCCUCAGAGAAAUAGGAUUAACCUCCUUUCUCCCACCAAAUGACCACCAUUGUCUCAGUUCCAGUGACUAAAGAGAAGAUAUGUUUGGUGGCAUCCGUUUAUAAAUUAAAGGGAGCAAAAUGCAGUAACGUAUAAAACAUCAAAAUAGAUGUCCAUUUCUUCAAAUAUAUUUGCU